rnacentral:rRNA from 1 species
UACGUAGGGGGCAAGCGUUGUCCGGAAUCAUUGGGCGUAAAGAGCGUGUAGGCGGCCAGAUAAGUCCGCUGUGAAAACUGGAGGCUCAACCUUCAGACGUCGACCCAAACCCCCUGGCUAGAGUCCGGAAGAGGAGGGUGGAAUUCCUGGUGUAGCGGUGAAAUGCGCAGAUAUCAGGAAGAACACCCGUGGCGAAGGCGGCUCUCUGGGACGGUACUGACGCUGAGACGCGAAAGCGUGGGGAGCGAACAGG